rnacentral:rRNA from 1 species
UGAGGAAUAUUGGUCAAUGGGCGAGAGCCUGAACCAGCCAAGUAGCGUGAAGGAAGAAGGUUCUAUGGAUUGUAAACUUCUUUUAUAAGGGAAUAACGGACACUACGUGUAGUGUUUUGCAUGUACCUUAUGAAUAAGCAUCGGCUAACUCCGUG